GUACGCUGGCGGCACGCCUAACACAUGCAAGUCGAACGAAGUAGCAAUACUUAGUGGCAGACGGGUGAGUAACAUGUAGGUAUCUGCCCUUUGGUCUGGAAUAACACGAGGAAACUUGUGCUAAUACCGGAUAAGUCUUUACGGAGAAAGCUUUAUGCACCAUUGGAUGAGCCUGCACUUGAUUAGUUUGUUGGUGGGGUAAUGGCCUACCAAGACUGUGAUCAAUAGCUGAUUUGAGAGGAUGAUCAGCCACAUUGGGACUGAGACACGGCCCAAACUCCUACGGGAGGCAGCAGUGGGGAAUCUUGCACAAUGGAGGAAACUCUGAUGCAGCGAUGCCGCGUGAGUGAAGAAGGCCUUUGGGUUGUAAAGCUCUUUCGUCGGGGAAGAAAAUGACUGUACCCGAAUAAGAAGGUCCGGCUAACU
rnacentral:rRNA from 1 species